GAGGGCGUGGCUCAGUGGUAAAGCGCAUGCUUAACAUGCAUGAGGUCCUUGGUUCAAUCCCCAGUAGCUCCA
rnacentral:tRNA from 1 species